ACCUGGCUGGCUUAUUUGGUAGAGCAUGAGACUCCUGAUCUGAGGGUCAUGAGUUCAAGCCCCAUGUUGGGGA
rnacentral:tRNA from 1 species